CGAACGGGUGAGUAACACGUGAAGAACCUGCCCUUCAGUGGGGGACAACAGUUGGAAACGACUGCUAAUACCGCAUAAGACCACAGUACCGCAUGGUACAGUGAUCAAAGGAUUUAUUCGCUGAAGGGUGGCUUCGCGUCCGAUUAGGUAGUUGGUGAGGUAACGGCCCACCAAGCCUACGAUCGGUAGCCGGACUGAGAGGUUGAUCGGCCACAUUGGGACUGAGACACGGCCCAGACUCCUACGGGAGGCAGCAUG
rnacentral:rRNA from 1 species